UUAUUAGAAACCAAACUAGAGGUAUGCCGUUGUUAACGGUAAAAUUGAAUAAACAUUUCCUAAUAA
rnacentral:tRNA from 1 species